AUGAUGAUUGGUGAUGGAGGAAAACAGCAUACCGUCUCCGAUGGCCACGUCUUACCACGACUGGCAUCGGAGAAAGUAGUUGUUGCCUCCACUUCGCCCUCCGCUGUCAACAUCGAAGAAGAAUUUGAACCUGAUAUCAUGCAAAACAUCAAUCGGAGCUCCAACACCCCCAUCUCCGUGCACCGUGUCAUGUUUGGACCCGAAGGCUGGGCGGACCUACCACAUGGAUUAUUGCACUCCAUCAUUGUCCUGUUGGGUUCAACUCGUGACCUUCUUGCAUUCAUCGCCACCUGCCCUAGCUGGUAUGCUGCAUUCAUGUCAAUCAAAUCUACCUUGGGCGAGCUCUUCCCACCUGUUAUUUUCCGGAACUGUGCCGACCAGACAAGCUCAACUGGCUCUAACAUUGGAAACACAUGGGAGCUGAUUGAUCCUGUAUAUCCAAGUACUCCGUUGUGUCGCUUGACCCCUCCAAGUAUUUUGGACAAAAUGACAGUCGUCAAAUGUUCUUAUGGUCAUGCGAUUUUCUGCUACGACAGAUCCCUUGUCAUUAUGGACGUGCUCACUGGCACUACGGUUGCAGCUCCACCUUUCCCAUUGAGUCAACUAUGCUACAAAACCUUCAUAUCUCCAGGGGCGUCACCAGAUUCAUAUUUAUUUGUCAGCAGCCCGCACUGCCUGUACGCUUGGCGAGUUGGGAGCCCCUCUUGGUUGCACUGCGAUUUUCUAAAUGCACAUUUGAUCAAGGAGAUAGUAUCUUUCAAAGACCGGGUCAUUAUGAGGAUGCGUCAAAAACUAUACACCGUGCAUUUGGCACCUCAGUUUCAUGUUGAGGUACUAAGAGUUGAUUGCAGAGAUUAUAUAGACCCGUACGUGCUUUCCGGAAAUUUGGUGGCUUGUGGAGACACACUUCUCCUACUUGGUCGUAACGGGGAAGCCUUCUCCAUUGACUUCUCAACUGUACCUGCAAAGUAUGUGAGCGUGGAAGAGGGAGGCUUGGAGAAGUGGGCGUUCUUCUUUGGCGAGAAACGUACUGGACAGCCACGACUUUUAGUGAAUCCAGAGAGAAUGGGUUUAAGGGGUGGCCUUGUCUAUCGGUUGGAUGAAAACGCUCGAGUAUUUUCAUACCCAGUAGAUGGCAACCAAAAUGAGGAGUUGGAGCCAGAACCUUGUUUUGCGACGAUCAAUGCUUAUCUUGCCCGCAAUCAUACAUCCUUUGCAGCUUGGGUAUGA
rnacentral:rRNA from 1 species